rnacentral:rRNA from 1 species
AACGAACGCUGGCGGCAUGCCUAACACAUGCAAGUCGAACGAGACCUUCGGGUCUAGUGGCGCACGGGUGCGUAACGCGUGGGAACCUGCCCUUAGGUUCGGAAUAACUCCCCGAAAGGGGUGCUAAUACCGGAUAAUGUCUUCGGACCAAAGAUUUAUCGCCUUUGGAUGGGCCCGCGUUGGAUUAGCUAGUUGGUAGGGUAAAAGCCUACCAAGGCGACGAUCCAUAGCUGGUCUGAGAGGAUGAUCAGCCACACUGAGACUGAGACACGGCCCAGACUCCUACGGGAGGCAGCAGUGGGGAAUAUUGGAAAAUGGGCUAAAGCCUGAACCAGCAAUGCUGCGUGAGUGAUGAAGUCCUUAGAGAUGUAAAGCUCUUUUACCCGCGACGAUAAUGACAGUACCGGGAGAAUAAGCACCGGCUAACUCCGUG